ensembl:lncRNA
UUACGUUUUGGUGUCUUUUUUGUGGGUUUUUUGGUUGUUUUUGUUUUUUGGAUGGUUGGCUGGUUGGCUGGUUGGUUGGUUGGUUGGUUGGUUGGUUGGUUGGUUUUUUGGGGGAUUGUUGGUGGUGGGAGAAAUGUCUGGCCUCUGUAGAAUCUGUCAAAAUAGAAAUAGCAUGAUAAAGUUUCCUCUUCUUUUCUGUAGUCAGGAGAGCUGCCAAAAUGAGCUGACACAAGUACAGCACUGUCUUCUCCCUACAUAUGUCGUGGGUCAUGAGGCAUAGCAGCAUUUGAGCUUCAGAAUGGUGCUUGAAGAGCAUGCUUCACAGGGACAUGAGCAUAAGUAAAGGAGACAGACAUGUUACAGUGAAGAUUUUCAAGGGACUACAAAAGAAGAAUGGGUGGCUUGAUAUGCACAUCUUGAUCAUUCAGGAGCUGGACUCGUAUGACCAUCUAGACUGAGAAUUUGACUGGACUCUAUCAAAACACUUCUACUGCCUGCAUACCUGUCUUCCCUAUCCAGACAAUCAGAGCUCAGGGAAAGGGUGAUGUAUGGGACCCCACCACAAAAUCGAGGAUAGAAGCUGAAGCUCAAAUAUGUAGAGACCCAAAAGAUGAAUAUACUGUGAAGAUAAGCAGACGUUCCUACAGGAUUGUGAAGAUGAUGGAGAGACAGCAGCAGGGGAGGAUCACAUUGCAGCUGGCUUCAGGCAAACAUCUUUGGCCAAGUGAAAACACUUUCCUCUCUUCUAAUUUUUGAUGUGAGUUUGCCAAAAAACCAGUAAUGACAUGCAAUUUCUAAAGCUAGUAUUUUAUUUAAACAACAAAAACAAACUACAGCUAAAAUGACUCACCAAAUAGGGGAAACCCCAGAAGAACUGAGUGACACAGAUUGAAGAGGUUUGGAAACAAAUCAACCUCCUAACCGUUAUGUCGUUGAAGUGUAUACCUUUUUUCCAUAAUCAGUAAUUUUCAGUUCAAGUAAAACUCCAGUUUUUCUCACUACAGAUCAUACUUUUGACUUUUCAGGAAAGUCUCUUAUCUGGAACUCCUGGGGGCAGAUUUGGGACUGCUUCCCUUUUUAGACAGGACACUUUUUGAGUAUCCCAUUUUCUCUCUGCCAGUACCAAACUCCAGAAAUUUUUCCAGAACCCAUCAAGCUCAUUUGGGCUACUGUGGAACUAAUCUUUCUCUUCAUCCUGCUUUUCAGAAGAAAAUGCUUCAGGAAGUGCAUUAACUCAGACAAGGUAAACAGAACACUUUCCUAGUCCUCUGCACAACCUUUUUACACAGUAUAAAUCAGACAGCAUCUGGUACCAUGUAAAAUGAUUGAAUUAAAUUGAAACAAUUUCCUGACACUGUCUGAAAUUUCUGUCUUGAGAGUCUGUAUCACUCAAGGUCACACCUUUUUCUUUAGCUUCUUUCCUCCUUC